AAAGUCUCUGGUUGAUCCUGCCGGACCCGACUGCUAUCAGAGUGGGACUAAGCCAUGCGAGUUGACGUAGUAAUACGUAGCGAACGGCUCAGUAACACGUAGUCAACAUGCCCAGGGGACGUGGAUAACCUCGGGAAACUGAGAAUAAACCGCGAUAGGUCACAAUUUCUGGAAUGGAUUUUGGCUUAAAUCUACAUGGCCCCUGGAUUGGACUGCGGCCGAUCAGGCUGUUGGUGAGGUAAUGGCCCACCAAACCUGUAACCGGUACGGGCUCUGAGAGGAGGAGCCCGGAGAUGGGCACUGAGACAAGGGCCCAGGCCCUAUGGGGCGCAGCAGGCGCGAAACCUCUGCAAUGGGCGAAAGCCUGACAGGGUUACUCUGAGUGAUUUCCGCUAAGGGGAUCUUUUGACACCUCUAAAAAUGGUGUAGAAUAAGGGGUGGGCAAGUCUGGUGUCAGCCGCCGCGGUAAUACCAGCACCCCGAGUGGUCGGGACGAUUAUUGGGCCUAAAGCAUCCGUAGCCGGUUCUGCAAGUCUUCCGUUAAAUCCAGCCGCUCAACGGAUGGGCUGCGGAAGAUACUAUAGGACUAGGAGGCGGGAGAGGCAAGCGGUACUCAGUGGGUAGGGGUAAAAUCCUUUGAUCCAUUGAAGACCACCAGUGGCGAAGGCGGCUUGCCAGAACGCGCUCGACGGUGAGGGAUGAAAGCUGGGGGAGCAAACCGGAUUAGAUACCCGGGUAGUCCCAGCUGUAAACGAUGCAGACUCGGUGAUGGGAUGGCCUCGAGCUAUCCCAGUGCCGCAGGGAAGCCGUUAAGUCUGCCGCCUGGGGAGUACGGUCGCAAGACUGAAACUUAAAGGAAUUGGCGGGGGAGCACCCACAGGGGUGAAGCCUGCGGUUCAA
rnacentral:rRNA from 1 species